GUAGGUGAACCUGCGGAAGGAUCAUUAUUGAAUACUCUUGAUGGGUUGUAGCUGGCUCUUCGGGGCAUGUGCACACUUGUCUUGACUUUAUUCAUCCACCUGUGCACAUUUUGUAGUCUUGUGGGUUGAGAGCAGUCGACUAUCGGAUGGCUAUGGCCUUUCCGGACGUGAGGAAUGCUGAGUGCGAAAGCAUUCAGCUCUUCUCAAAUGACUUGCAAAACCUCUCCCUCAAGUACUAUGUAUUCAUAUA
rnacentral:misc_RNA from 1 species